GUGGCACAAAUGGUAAUGCAUUUGGCUGCUAACCAAAAAGCUGGCAGUUGGAGUCUACCC
rnacentral:tRNA from 1 species